UACCUCAAAAUUCCGCAACAGUCUGUUUCAUCAGUAAAGAAACCGCCUGAUGAUUCUUUACUGAUGAAACAGACUGUUGCGGAAUUU